rnacentral:rRNA from 1 species
UACGUAGGCAGCGAGCGUUGUUCGGAGUUACUGGGCGUAAAGGGUGCGUAGGUGGUUUGAUAAGUUAUCUGUAAAAGCCCUGGGCUCAACCUGGGAAGGCCAGAUAAUACUGUUGAACUGGAGUAUGGGAGAGGGUAGUGGAAUUUCCGGUGUAGCGGUGAAAUGCGCAGAUAUCAGGAGGAACACCGGUGGCGAAGGCGGGUCUCUGGGCCGAUGACUGACGCUGAGGAGCGAAAGCGUGGGGAGCGAACAGG